AGUGAACGCUGGCGGCGUGCCUAACACAUGCAAGUCGAGCGGUUCUUGGAUAGCAAUAUCCGGGAAUAGCGGCGAACGGGUGAGUAACACGUGGGUAAUCUCCCCUCAAGUGAGGAAUAAGCCUUCGAAAGGGGGUCUAAUACCGCAUGAUGCUCCGGGACUUAUGUCUUCGGAGUUAAAGCCGAAAGGCGCUUGGGGAUGAGCCUGCGUCCUAUUAGCUAGUUGGUAGGGUAAUGGCCUACCAAGGUUAUGAUGGGUAGCCGGCCUGAGAGGGUGUACGGCCACACUGGGACUGAGACACGGCCCAGACUCCUACGGGAGGCUG
rnacentral:rRNA from 1 species